CAGGUGCCUGUGAGAUCAGAGAGGAGGGUGAAGAUGGCUAUUCAUAAUUAGUCUGCAGUUCCAGCUAUUUUUAUUGCUAUACUCGCUGCCAAAAAGGUCUCUCCAUUUAGAAACCAACAUGCCUCUAUAUGACCCUGUUCCAGAGUCCUUCUUUUGACAAGGAAGAAGAGUAAGGUGUUGGCUUGGUGUCAACAGCAGGUUUUAAAGUCAUCAGCAACAGGAAGCACCAAAGAGAUUUGAGCCCUCUUUAACAUUUACGUUUGCUGUUCCAGUUCAGCAACCUGAAGUACAAACCAGAUUCAGACUCGAGUCUCGCCCUUAAUUAGAAGUAAAUGUUACUGCAAAGCCAGGUAGCAGGAUGUUUUAGGAUAUCAACUGAAUGACUAGGAGAACAUAAACUCUGAUUUUAGGUAGAAAAAUAAAGUUCUGGACUUCUGUUUA